rnacentral:rRNA from 1 species
GGGGAAUUUUCCGCAAUGGGCGAAAGCCUGACGGAGCAACGCCGCGUGAGGGAAGAAGGCCUCUGGGCUGUAAACCUCUUUUCUCAAGGAAGAAGAUCUGACGGUACUUGAGGAAUAAGCCACGGCUAAUUCCGUGCCAGCAGCCGCGGUAAUACGGGAGUGGCAAGCGUUAUCCGGAAUUAUUGGGCGUAAAGCGUCCGCAGGCGGCCUUUCAAGUCUGCUGUUAAAGCGUGGAGCUUAACUCCAUUAAGGCAGUGGAAACUGUUGGGCUUGAGUGUGGUAGGGGCAGAGGGAAUUCCCGGUGUAGCGGUGAAAUGCGUAGAUAUCGGGAAGAACACCAGUGGCGAAGGCGCUCUGCUGGGCCAUAACUGACGCUCAUGGACGAAAGCCAGGGGNAGCGAAAGGGAUUAGAUACCCCUGUAGUC